CGAAUGCUGACAUAAGUAACGAUAAAGCGGGUGAAAAGCCCGCUCGCCGGAAGACCAAGGGUUCCUGUCCAACGUUAAUCGGGGCAGGGUGAGUCGACCCCUAAGGCGAGGCCGAAAGGCGUAGUCGAUGGGAAACAGGUUAAUAUUCCUGUACUUGGUGUUACUGCGAAGGGGGGACGGAGAAGGCUAUGUUGGCCGGGCGACGGUUGUCCCGGUUUAAGCGUGUAGGCUGGUUUUCCAGGCAAAUCCGGAAAAUCAAGGCUGAGGCGUGAUGACGAGGCACUACGGUGCUGAAGCGACAAAUGCCCUGCUUCCAGGAAAAGCCUCUAAGCAUCAGGUAACAUCAAAUCGUACCCCAAACCGACACAGGUGGUCAGGUAGAGAAUACCAAGGCGCUUGAGAGAACUCGGGUGAAGGAACUAGGCAAAAUGGUGCCGUAACUUCGGGAGAAGGCACGCUGAUAUGUAGGUGAAGCGACUUGCUCGUGGAGCUGAAAUCAGUCGAAGAUACCAGCUGGCUGCAACUGUUUAUUAAAAACACAGCACUGUGCAAACACGAAAGUGGACGUAUACGGUGUGACGCCUGCCCGGUGCCGGAAGGUUAAUUGAUGGGGUUAGCGGUAACGCGAAGCUCUUGAUCGAAGCCCCGGUAAACGGCGGCCGUAACUAUAACGGUCCUAAGGUAGCGAAAUUCCUUGUCGGGUAAGUUCCGACCUGCACGAAUGGCGUAAUGAUGGCCAGGCUGUCUCCACCCGAGACUCAGUGAAAUUGAACUCGCUGUGAAGAUGCAGUGUACCCGCGGCAAGACGGAAAGACCCCGUGAACCUUUACUAUAGCUUGACACUGAACAUUGAGCCUUGAUGUGUAGGAUAGGUGGGAGGCUUUGAAGUGUGGACGCCAGUCUGCAUGGAGCCGACCUUGAAAUACCACCCUUUAAUGUUUGAUGUUCUAACGUGGGCCCCUUACCGGGGUUGCGGACAGUGUCUGGUGGGUAGUUUGACUGGGGCGGUCUCCUCCUAAAGAGUAACGGAGGAGCACGAAGGUUGGCUAAUCCUGGUCGGACAUCAGGAGGUUAGUGCAAUGGCAUAAGCCAGCUUGACUGCGAGCGUGACGGCGCGAGCAGGUGCGAAAGCAGGUCAUAGUGAUCCGGUGGUUCUGAAUGGAAGGGCCAUCGCUCAACGGAUAAAAGGUACUCCGGGGAUAACAGGCUGAUACCGCCCAAGAGUUCAUAUCGACGGCGGUGUUUGGCACCUCGAUGUCGGCUCAUCACAUCCUGGGGCUGAAGUAGGUCCCAAGGGUAUGGCUGUUCGCCAUUUAAAGUGGUACGCGAGCUGGGUUUAGAACGUCGUGAGACAGUUCGGUCCCUAUCUGCCGUGGGCGCUGGAGAACUGAGGGGGGCUGCUCCUAGUACGAGAGGACCGGAGUGGACGCAUCACUGGUGUUCGGGUUGUCAUGCCAAUGGCACUGCCCGGUAGCUAAAUGCGGAAGAGAUAAGUGCUGAAAGCAUCUAAGCACGAAACUUGCCCCGAGAUGAGUUCUCCCUGACUCCUUGAGAGUCCUGAAGGAACGUUGAAGACGACGACGUUGAUAGGCCGGGUGUGUAAGCGCAGCGAUGCGUUGAGCUAACCGGUACUAAUGAACCGUGAGGCUUAACCUUACAACGCCGAAG
rnacentral:rRNA from 1 species